rnacentral:rRNA from 1 species
AUGCUACCUCCCACACAUUCUUAUCUCGAGCUAGCCCUUGUUAGCAACUCAUUCCCUAUUCCCAUCUUUCCCCUUUGCCAAGAAAGAACACCUAGAAGCCCCAGAUCCACCUACCCCAACGGAGCCCGAGAGCGCGUCCAUGGAGACGUCGUGAAAAACAUCGUCACCGACCUCCACAAAGUGUCCAGAAGCGCCCUCGUGUCCGACUACGUCCAAGGCGUGCACUACAUCGAGCCGAGACGCCAAGACAAUGCCGCCUUCCUCCUCUUCUUCCUCUCUGACCCCCUGAUGUUUCCUUUGAUCUCGUCUGACUCCGUCCACGUAUCGGCAAGCGGAGCACACCGUUGUGCUCCCCAUCGACCAAAAUGGAAAGAGUUUUGA